AAACUCAAAUGAAUUGACGGGAGCCCGCACAAGCAGUGGAGUAUGUGGUUUAAUUCGACGCAACGCGAAGAACCUUACCGGAACUUGACAUCCUGCCAAGGCGAAUGUAAUGUUUGCCGUGCCCUUCGGGAGAGCAGAGACAGGUGGUGCAUGGUUGUCGUCAGCUCGUGUCGUGAGAUGUUGGGUUAAGUCCCGCAACGAGCGCAACCCUUACGGUUAGUUGCUACGAAAGAGCACUCUAGCCGGACUGCCGUUGACAAAACGGAGGAAGGCGGGGACGACGUCAAAUCAUCAUGCCCCUUACGUUCCGGGCUACACACGUACUACAAUGGCGCAAACAAGGGGAAGCGAGAUCGCGAGAUGGAGCAGACCCCGUAAAAGGCGUCCCAGUUCGGACUGCAGGCUGCAACCCGCCUGCACGAAGUUGGAAUUGCUAGUAAUCGCGGAUCAGCAUGCCGCGGUGAAUACGUUCCCGGGCUUU
rnacentral:rRNA from 1 species